GUUUGCUUUAGGGCUGAAACGAUUACUCGAGUAACUCGAGUAACUCGAUUAAUAAAAUUCCUCGAGGCAAAUUAUAUGCCUCGAGGAAUCGUUUAAAUCCGGAACCAUGUGCAGCGCACGGUGUUUGACACGGACGGUUAUUUCUGUUGCGCAGCAGCGUGCUCUUUCCGCUCCUUCCGCUGCCGCGCGUUUGGUUCAAUCAUGGGCUGUGUCCGAAAUGGCAUACUGCCUACUAUCUACUUACCUACUCAAGCAGUAGCUACUGCCUACUGACUACUCAAAGAUGAUUUGAGUAUGCCGCGGCUGCCCGAGCGUUUACACACAUACAUACUACAUACCCCAGAAUGCAUUUCGUGCCGGCCGGACGCAGCGCCGGGAAAAUUUAAAUAGUCCUACCACAAGCUACACAGAACGACUGCAUCCCGGACA